GGUCGCUUAGCUCAGUUGGUUAGAGCGCUACGCUCACAUCGUAGAGGUCGCUGGUUCGAGUCCAGCAGCGACCACCA
rnacentral:tRNA from 1 species